CAUUUUAUUGAAGCUUCGGCAGAUUUAGAUUGUUUCUAGUGGCGGACGGGUGAGUAACGCGUGGGUAACCUGCCUUAUACCGGGGGAUAACAGCCAGAAAUGACUGCUAAUACCGCAUAAGCGCACAGAACCGCAUGGUUCCGUGUGAAAAACUCUGGUGGUAUAAGAUGGACCCGCGUUGGAUUAGCUAGUUGGCAGGGCAGCGGCCUACCAAGGCGACGAUCCAUAGCCGGCCU
rnacentral:rRNA from 1 species